ensembl:misc_RNA
UUAAAAUUCCUUCUCUCAUGAAAGAUACAAAACGGAUAACUCAAAGCAGGUAAGGCAGCAGUGCAAGCUUUCCCACACUGCCAUGCCAAUUUGCAUCAACCCUGACAUCAACUAUGAUCAGCUAUGAGAGCAAGAAUAGUUCAAUGUCUAUGCUUAU